rnacentral:tmRNA from 1 species
CAUGCCGAGGGGCGGUUGGCCUCGUAAAAAGCCGCAAAAAAUAGUCGCAAACGACGAAAACUACGCUUUAGCAGCUUAAUAACCUGCUCUGAGCCCUCUCUCCCUAGCUUCCGCUCUUAAGACGGGGAUCAAAGAGAGGUCAAACCCAAAAGAGAUCGCGUGGAUGCCCUGCCUGGGGUUGAAGCGUUAAAUCUAAUCAGGCUAGUUUGUUAGUGGCGUGUCUGUCCGCAGCUGGCAAGCGAAUGUAAAGACUGACUAAGCAUGU